CCUACGGGGGGCAGCAGUAGGGAAUUUUCGUCAAUGGGCGCAAGCCUGAACGAGCAAUGCCGCGUGAACGAGGAAGGUCUUCGGAUCGUAAAGUUCUGUUGAAGGGGAAAAAGAGCGGAGAGAGGAAAUGAACUCCGAUUGAUAUUACCCUUCGAGGAAGUCACGGCUAACUACGUGCCAGCAGCCGCGGUAAUACGUAGGUGGCAAGCGUUGUCCGGAUUUAUUGGGCGUAAAGCGAGUGCAGGCGGUUCAAUAAGUCUGAUGUGAAA
rnacentral:rRNA from 1 species